rnacentral:rRNA from 1 species
GAUGAACGCUGGCGGCGUGCCUAAUACAUGCCAGUCGAGCGAACGGACGAGAAGCUUGCUUCUCUGAUGUUAGCGGCGGACGGGUGAGUAACACGUGGAUAACCUACCUAUAAGACUGGGAUAACUUCGGGAAACCGGAGCUAAUACCGGAUGAUAUUUUGAACCGCAUGGUUCAAAAGUGAAAGACGGUCUUGCUGUCACUUAUAGAUGGAUCCGCGCUGCAUUAGCUAGUUGGUAAGGUAACGGCUUACCAAGGCAACGAUGCAUAGCCGACCUGAGAGGGUGAUCGGCCACACUGGAACUGAGACACGGUCCAGACUCCUACGGGAGGCAGCAGUAGGGAAUCUUCCGCAAUGGGCGAAAGCCUGACGGAGCAACGCCGCGUGAGUGAUGAAGGUCUUCGGAUCGUAAAACUCUGUUACUAGGGAAGAACAUAUGUGUAAGUAACUGUGCACAUCUUGACGGUACCUAAUCAGAAAGCCACGGCUAACUACGUG